UCCCCGGUCUCGAGAAAACGGUUUAGCCACCUCUUGUGUAAUUUGUUUCUUUGCUUUAUCAACAAAGGAGAGUUUCAGACCCUUGGGAGACGAUUAAAAAAAAAGAAAGAGAGUGAACAAGUGAUAGAAAUAUGCCUCCACACGAAGCAAAUUUGUGGUUGCACAUGAAAAAAGGGCGAAAGAGGAAAAAGAAAACAAAUGGAGGCAGCUUUUGUACAUUUUAAUCUAGAAAGACUUGCUUCAUUUGUUUUGGAGUUCACACCCACCAAGACAUCUUGUUGACCCCUCAUCACGCUCUCCACCCUCAGCCUUUUCCAGGCCGUCUUUCAAGAACCAGAGGCAGCUUUUUUUGACUCAUGUUGGGAUAAAAUUCCAUCUGGACCUUCAUCUUUGAAAAAUGACAUCUGCCUUUCAAGGAAAUCAGUAAAUGCUUUGGUCCAGCCUCUGACAUGUGACAAGGACCAUGGAUGGUGGAAAACAUUGAGGUUGCCA